rnacentral:rRNA from 1 species
AUUGAACGCUGGCGGCAUGCCUUACACAUGCAAGUCGAACGGCAGCACGGGUGCUUGCCCCUGGUGGCGAGUGGCGAACGGGUGAGUAAUACAUCGGAACAUGUCCUGUAGUGGGGGAUAGCCCGGCGAAAGCCGGAUUAAUACCGCAUACGAUCUACGUAUGAAAGCGGGGGACCUUCUGGCCUCGCGCUAUAGGGUUGGCCGAUAGCUGAUUAGCUAGGUGGUGGGGUAAAGGCCUACCAAGGCGACGAUCAGUAGCUGGUCUGAGAGGACGACCAGCCACACUGGGACUGAGACACGGCCCAGACUCCUACGGGAGGCAGCAGUGGGGAAUUUUGGACAAUGGGCGAAAGCCUGAUCCAGCAAUGCCGCGUGUGUGAAGAAGGCCUUCGGGUUGUAAAGCACUUUUGUCCGGAAAGAAAUCCUUGGCUCUAAUACAGUCGGGGGAUGACGGUACCGGAAGAAUAAGCACCGGCUAACUACGUG